GAUGAACGCUGGCGGCGUGCCUAAUACAUGCAAGUCGAGCGAACAGACGAGGAGCUUGCUCCUUUGACGUUAGCGGCGGACGGGUGAGUAACACGUGGAUAACCUACUUAUCAGCCUGGGAUAACUUCGGGACACCGGAGCUCAUACCGGAUAAUAUCUUAAUCCGCAUGGUUCCAUAGUGAAAGACGGUUUUGCUGUCACUUAUCGCUGGAUCGGCGCCGCAUUAGCUAGUUGGUAAGGUAACGGCUUACCACGGCAACAAUGCUUAGCCGACCUGAGAGGGGGUCCGCCCACACGGGAACGAGAACCGGGUCCAGACUCCAACGGGAGGCAGCAGAAGGGAAUCUUCCGAAAUGGGCGAAAGCUGGACGGGGCAACGCCGCGUGGGGGAUGAAGGUCUUCGAAUCGUAAGACUCUGUGAUUAGGGAGGAACAAAUGUGGAAGGAACAAUGCACGUCUUGACGGUACCUAAUCAGAAAGCCACGGCUAACUACGUG
rnacentral:rRNA from 1 species